rnacentral:rRNA from 1 species
GACGUAGGGGCCAGCGUUGUUCGGAAUUACUGGGUGUAAAGGGUUCGUAGGCGGUGUGGCAAGUCGGGAGUGAAAUCUCUGGCUCAACCCAGAGUCUGCUCCGAAACUGCUGUGCUUGAGUGUGGGAGAGGCGCGUGGAAUUGCAGGUGUAGCGGUGAAUGCGUAGAUAUCUGCAGGAACACCGUGGCGAAAGCGGCGCGCUGGACCACUACUGACGCUGAGGAACGAAGCUAGGGAGCAA